CAUAAAUAUACAUAUAGACUUAAGAAGCACGUUGUCGCUGUAACGCAGGGGAAAGAAUCAUGUAUAGAUCUAUGUCAACGUUUUUGCAGCUUUCCAGACAGGCCUGUCUACAGUUUUCAAGAGGGAAACAUGUUGUAAUCACUCCAGUUGACAAACCUAGAUUUUUUGGUAUAAACAAAGUAAUAAUACUAGGGAGCCUUGCCAGUGUAGUCAGAAAUCCAGGAAAUGAUGAUUCAUUUUAUACGUUCACUUUGGCAAACAACAGAACAGGUAUGUAAAAAUAGUGCAGAUACAGUGAUUGAUCAGACAUAUUGUGAAACACAAAACUAAAAAUGUAACAUUAAGAUGCUCUCUGAUAAUCAUUUUGACAAUUAUAAGCAGUUAACUAAGCAGUUAACUAUAGCAACUACCAGACUGGGCAUUAAAUGAUCCUGAAUUCACCGGUAGAUCGGACCACACUACCCAUUUUCAAGCAUUAACAUAGAUGGCAUUGCACAGUUCCUGUCUGGACAUUGUUUGGUAGACUCGCAUUGAUUUUGAUAAUGUUUGAAUGUUUGUUGUUGGCCUCAUUUCCUUCUACCUUUUUUCGGUGGGUUAACGAGGCAUAACAAUGGUUAAGAUGUUUAAAACUAGUAUCAGUCACAUGCACAGAUUUGAAGCCGUGUGUUUCCUCAUUCUGACCACAUGGGUGUGAAUAUGGUAGGGAUUUGUGCCAACAACGUGUUGAUCUUCAAGGAAGCCACACGUAAAGGAUGCGGCAAUUGCACUGAGACUGAAGGGGCUCCAUACCAUCCCUUUUAGCAUCCCUGUCAGCAAAAUGGCACAGCACCAGCAUGUAAUGUAAACAUUCUUGCAAUAGCCUGUAACCAUUUACAUACUAUGUCAUGUUAAUCACACAGAAAAAAAUUUAUACAAUUCAUUGCAAGGCGUCCAUAUCAAAUUUUUAUCUAGGCUUCAGCAAUUGGAGCUUUACUAGGUGGCAAUUUUCAUAUGGUCAGGGGGAGAUGGUUAGAGAUCCUAAGGAGACAUGAAGGCAAUUUUCAUAUUUGUUUAAGGGAUUAAUUUACCAGAAGACCCUUAUUAGUACCACCAGCGUGUGUGCGGGUGGUACUCAUGGUUUUAGUCCCGACCUGUCUCCGCCAGUUCCUGUGGCUUUGCAGGAUGGCAUGGGAUACAAGUCGCCAUUUCUGCUUCUCAUAUGUGGGAUUCCAAAUAUGCCCUUGGAUUUGACUUUAUUUCAA